AGCAGUAGCCGCGGGAAUACGUAGGGGGCAAGCGUUAUCCGGAAUUACUGGGUGCAAAGGGAGCGUAGACGGUUAAACAAGUCUGAAGUGAAAUGCCAGGGCUCAACCCCGGAGCUGCUUUGGGAACUGUAGAACUGGAGUGUCGGAGGGGUAAGCGGAAUUCCCAGUGUAGCGGUGAAAUGCGUAGAUAUUGGGAGGAACACCGGCGGCGAAGGCGGCUUACUGGACGACAACUGACGUUGAGGCUCGAAGGCGUGGGUAGCAAACAGGAUUAGAUACCCCCGUAGUCCCUGUCUCUUAUAC
rnacentral:rRNA from 1 species